rnacentral:sRNA from 1 species
GCCAGGUGUGGUAAGGCACACCUGUAAUCCCAAUGACUGAGGAGGCUGAGGCAGGAGGAUUUCAAUUUUGAGGUCAGCCUCAG